rnacentral:rRNA from 1 species
UAGGGAAUCUUCCGCAAUGGGCGAAAGCCUGACGGAGCAACGCCGCGUGAGUGAUGAAGGUCUUCGGAUCGUAAAACUCUGUUAUUAGGUAAGAACAAAUGUGUAAGUAACUAUGCACGUCUUGACGGUACCUAAUCAGAAAGCCACGGCUAACUACGUGCCAGCAGCCGCGGUAAUACGUAGGUGGCAAGCGUUAUCCGGAAUUAUUGGGCGUAAAGCGCGCGUAGGCGGUUUUUUAAGUCUGAUGUGAAAGCCCACGGCUCAACCGUGGAGGGUCAUUGGAAACUGGAAAACUUGAGUGCAGAAGAGGAAAGUGGAAUUCCAUGUGUAGCGGUGAAAUGCGCAGAGAUAUGGAGGAACACCAGUGGCGAAGGCGACUUUCUGGUCUGUAACUGACGCUGAUGUGCGAAAGCGUGGGGAUCAAACAGG